GAAAAUGCAAUAGGACAAGCCCUGAGUCAACAACACACCAUAAGGCUUCUAAACAACUGAAAAUUGAUGAACUCUUCGGGGAGAGAACUAUAACAGAGGAGGAAAUGUUGGCCUGACCAAUGUUGUUGAACUCCAAUCAAACCUCACGGAAGAUGAAGGUAGCUGUAGUCCAAAAACAUCUGGAGGGCCACAAGUUUUCCACCCUGUCCGACGCAUACAAAAGAGAUAUUGAGCUACCGUGAGGUGCAGAGACUCUUUGGGGACCCUCCAAUGCCCAGCAAACUGUGGAAAAUAAAAAAAUGGAAAAUCAAAAGAAAUGGAAAAGAAUUUUCACAUCAAGCAAAAUUGAGAGGCUGUGUGACGCAUUUAGGACUACCCCUCAAAACUCUGUAAGGCAGUAAGGCAGAAUGAAAUAAAGUGCAUACUUCCUUUUU